AGAGUUUGAUCAUGGCUCAGAAUGAACGCUGGCGGCAGGCCUAACACAUGCAAGUCGAACGGAUCCUUCGGGAUUAGUGGCGGACGGGUGAGUAACGCGUGGGAACAUACCCAAAGGUACGGAAUAGCCUCGGGGAAACUGGGAGUAAUACCGUAUGUGGUCGAGAGACGAAAGAUUUAUCGCCUUUGGAUUGGCCCGCGUUGGAUUAGGUAGUUGGUGGGGGUAAAUGGCCUACCAAGCCGACGAUCCAUAGCUGGUUUGAGAGGAUGAUCAGCCACACUGGGACUGAGACACGGCCCAGACUCCUACGGGAGGCAGCAGUGGGGAAUCUUAGACAAUGGGGAAACCCUGAUCUAGCCAUGCCGCGUGAUCGAUGAAGGCCUUAGGGUUGUAAAGAUCUUUCAGAUGGGAAGAUAAUGACGGUACCAUCAGAAGAAGCCCCGGCUAACUCCGUG
rnacentral:rRNA from 1 species